ensembl:lncRNA
UCCCUGUUCACUGUUUAUUGUGCAAAUAAAGACAGGUAACAGACACUGUAUUUAUUCUCUCUUAUCCAGCCACCAGAAAACAAGAGCUGGAUGAAGCCCUCGUCUCCAUGAUAGUGAAGGACACACAGCCCUUCAGUAUUGUCGAUGAUGUUGGAUUCAGGGCAUUUGUGUCCAAACUGGAUCCUAAUUAGGUUCUCUACCUACAAGGCAGGCUCUGAAGGCCAUGGUGGAGGCCAAGUAUGAGUCGGCUAAGAAGAAGGUCAAGGCUAAAGUAGAAAAGGUGGCUGCUGUUAGCCUUACUUCUGACAUGUGGACAUACAUCAAUGGGGAUGCCUACCUGGCUGUAACAUGCCAUUUUGUGGGUGAGAAAACCGCACUCAGUUCAGUGCUGUUAGGAGUGCAGGGAUUCCCCCAAUCACACACUGCUGAAAAUAUAGCUUGUGUGAAAGCCUCCUUGAUAGAGGAAUGGGAAUUGCUAGUUAGGUGACAUGUAUGGUCACUGAUGGUGCUCCCAAUAUGGUUGUCUGUGUGAGAGAGCUGAAGCUUCGGCACCAUAUUUGCAUUGCACACACACUGAAUCUGAAAUUGAAGAAGGCACUUGACCAGCAGCCUGUGCUCUCUGGCAUCCGGGCCAAAGCACGGAAGCUGGUUGGCUUCUUUAGAAGCAGCACCAGUGCUAAGGAGAAGCUCACACAAGUGCAACUUUAUCUGGGGAUGGGCAAACAUGAAGCUAAUGCAAGAAGUGGAGACCAGAUUGAACAGCACAUAUUUGAUGCUGCAACGUUUGGUGGAGCACAGUGCUGUAGUGGUAAAAUUAGAGUAGUGCCCAGAGGGCCUCCUUGUCCUCCACGUCAGGUCCUGCCUUGCUGGGGUUCAUGGCUCCUCUGUGCUUCUCCUCACUCUAUUCGACCUCAGUGCUGUAGUGGUAAAAUUAGAGGUGGGUAAACUCUGAAUUUUGUGAUCAUACAGACCUCGACGCGAUGCGAAGCAACGCGAUGUGAAGCGUCGCAACUCUGUUAGGCUGUCCUAGCUAUAUUGCAUUAUGUUAAAUGUUAAAUUUAAGAAAACAUCUCCUUUUUACAGUAGUGCCCAGAGGGCCUCCUUGUCCUCCACGUCAGGUUUUUCACAUUGAGAACUGACUUGUUUUCUAAUCUACGCGUCACCAGGUGUUUUUCUUGUCCUUUUACAGUGCACGACCGGCGAACACAGAGCGCGCGACUACUACAUGAAACCGGUCCGUGAGGUAAGAAAGGUUGGGGACCACUGGGCUGAUCCACAGCGUGUAUGUGCCUCCUGGAUCCUGAUUGGGGUCGCUGCUGCAGCCGCAAGGCACUGAUUGGAUGCUCACAGACCGUAAUACAGCGCAGAUGAAAAUGAUUCAGACUACGGCGUUUAUAUGUUUAACAAUAGGAAACGUAGUCUUAGCUGUUUUAAAAUUACACCAAUUUUAUUUCGGAUUUUUCCAACGGAAGAAUACAAGGCGCAGGGAACUUUGAGGUGCGUAAACGCUAUUUAUAGGUGCGUAAACCCUUUUUCCCAAAUUCUCGAGGUGCAUAAAUGGCGUUUACCCGUUAAAAAUAAACAUUUUUAAAUCUGUCGUUUUUUUUUCAACAACAAUAAACAAUAUACAGAAAUGCUACUUAAUCUGGCAAUACACAAUUUUUAUCCUAAACAAUGGGAAAGUG